CGUGGGAGCGCCGCUGGGGCGGCCUCCUCCGCGCACCCAGCCCGGCCCCGCCGCCUCCUCCAGGCAGCCCAACGCCACCAGGGAGCCUGCGUGCCUUCCCCAACCACUGCUGCCUCGCGGUCCCUCGCACCUCUAAAAGCCCAGCUCCCUUUUGGGGAAGGAGGGACUCAGUAGGAGACCGGGUCAGGAGUGUCCAUUCUGUUUGUAUGUUGUGUCUCCCCUUAUCAGACUAGAGGCUCCCUGAGGCCAGGGAUUGGUUCUCUUCAGACUAGAGGCUUGUGAGGGGAGGUAUUGGGUCAGGGCUUCUCCCAUCAGACUGGGGAGAUCUCAGAUGGCAGGGGUUGGGCUCUCCCUAAAAGACAGAGAGCCAGUGAAAGAAAGUUUGUAAAGAUUGGAGCCUGGUGCUCAGACCUACAGUAAAUGUUUAUGUUUUAGUUGUUAGCUAAUACGACUACUGGUUACGUAAUAGUUUCCCCAAAGCUGGGGCCACAGGAAGCCGUCAUGUCCCGCCUUUCUUCUCUACCCCCCAGUCCACAAGUGCCUAUACCACAACAGUCAGGAAAGAGAGGACACUUUUCACAUGCUGCCCCCUCUCCAGGGGCCUUCCUGGAGGGUGAGUCUGAGUGACCUGAGCUGUAGUUCCUACUUGCCUGGUGAGGAAGUGGGAGGGAGUGUCCUGCCCCCAGGUUAGAGAGGAGGGGACCCCAGCCUCUUGGCCUCCAGAGAAGGCCCUAGCAUGGAUUGUCUCAAAAGGAGUGAGUGGGUGAGGGCCAUGGACAUGACAAAUCUACCUGCAGAUCCUCAGCUUAGCACAGAUCAGGCAGAAAGGGCAGCUGGACACGGGGAAGAACUUUCUGAGUCCUGGCAGGGAGCUCUGGGGACUUCUCCAGGUUGGGCCCUGUGUUGGGAUGGUGGACAUGCCUGCCAAAGCUCCCUUCUGGCCUGAAGGGCUUAUUCUCUUUCCUGCUCCCCACUGCCUAGAAGCUCUGCCCACCAGCCCUCCACUGCAAGAAAUCUGGAGGGGGCAUUUUGAGUUAAUACAUACGGCCUGGCUUUUGUGGUGAAGCUAAUCAGAAGUAAUUAUGGGGGAAGGAGGGAUCCUUAGAGGGACCCCACAGAGACCACCUCAUCCGCCCCGGACCAGCCGUGGUGGCCCUGGCCCCCAGGGCCUAGGCCCAGCUCAGCUCCUCCUGGGGAGGGGGAAGCCACCAACGCCAACCCUGCCCACUGCUCUCCCCUCUCCCUGCUGACCCAAGCCCUGCAGCCGCAGGUAAGCUCACACAUCCGAGUUUGCCUCAAUUGGCCCCCAGCUGUUCCAUCCUCAUUCAUUCAUCCCACAUUUAUUGGGCACCUUCUCUGAGCCAGGGCCUGUGCUGGGCACUGAAAGUGACUGGUCCCUGCCCUGGGACGUGGGUCAGUGUAGUCGCUGCAGAGGGGAAGGCAGAGGACCCCCUCCAGGAUCACAGGCCACUUCAGGGAGGCCCUCCCUGGCCACCAUCUUGCCGCUACUGAGGGGACUGGGGGGACAGAGCCCACCAGCUCCAGGAGCCUGUGAGGACUUCCUGAUUUCUGCACUCCUAACCCGGCAGGCCGCCCAAUCCCGCCUCCCACCCGUUGUUGACGGGUGUCAGGCCAGCCCUGCUCUGUCUCCCUGUCCUGGCCCUCUGCCCUCUGGCAGCCUCCUCCAUCCACUUCUGUUCUCCCUGCUUCUUUGCUCAGGGGUCCCUCAGCAGUGCAGAGACCCUCAGUUGGCACUUCACAGUCACCUCCCUGGGGUUCAAGGCCCCAUGCGGGAGAGCCUUAGAGACAGCUCUCCUCUCUUUCAUGCACAAGGAAACUGAGGCCAGGACGGGUGGCGGGGAGAGUGCAGGCAGUCAGGGCAGUAGAACUAAACCCUGGUCUUCUGACUCCCGGUCCAGUGCUCUUUCUGGGGAGUCCUCCCUGACCUGCACCUGAGGGCAGUUCGGGUCUGUCCUUCCUCAGUCCCCUUACUGUGCCCAGGAGAACCAAGGAGCAAACAGGGGUCUCCACCAUCUUGCCUCCUGCCCUGCCCCAGCAGCCUGGGCCCAGAGACUGGGUGGUGGGGUGGGAAGGACCAGAGUGGGUCUCAGUUGAGGGUCUCUCAUUUGCUCCUGCCUCUUGAUGUCCAGACUAAAACCGGCCUUCUGUGCCCAAGAGACUUCCAAGCAGAAGUGGAGGGAAAAAUUCCUUCUUGGGCAGAGAAGCGUCCCCUGAUUGAAUCCCUGCCCCUGUCUCAAGCUCACAGGAACUGAGGGUCCAAGAGAAGGCCUCUUUCUCUGACCCUCAGGGUCUCCCACCCACUGCUUCUCCGCGCAGGGGCUGCACAAGGUAAAUUCCAUCAGUGACUUCAUGGCUCUGAGCUUUGGUUUCCCUACCUGUAAAAUGACAGUAACACAGCAUUUAACUAUGGGGAUUAAAUAAGCCACAGCCCAGGGUCCACGUUCCUAAAAUGGCAGUGUGGCAAUGACUAAUGCCCCACAAGAUGUCCCUUGUGUCUGGAGGCUAAUUCUCCUCCCAGAAUGGCUACCUGGAACCCAGGACCUGGCCGUGACUCCUGGCCUAGGGACCAGGACUGUGAUAGGCAGGCCGUGAGGUGAGCAGGUCACUGGGAAGGGGUGGGAUUACUGGACUGUCCGGUGGCAUCUGCCUGAGCCUGGGGCACAUUCCUCCUCCCCUGCUCUCCCCACCUGCCGGCUGCCACCUGUGCUGCUAGCACCAUGGCUCACCUGGCCUCUGCAGCUGCUCUGAGGGAAGGAAUGAACUGUGGGAGUAGCCCAAUCUGUAUAGCCGGCUGGAGCACCUUAGCAGCUAGCCCUCACGGAGGGGCUAAGCAUCUCUAUCCCGGUUUCAUCCUAUGACCCUCAGCACCCUGGGAGUACCCUCACAACAGGGGCUAGAUCUCCACUCUCAGACUGGGGUCUCCCUGAGGCAGGGCUUGGGCCCUCACCAUCAGACCAAAGGAUUCCCGAAGUGGGAGCUUUCCCAGAGAACCUGGCCCAAGGGGACUGGGCUGGGAUUUGAUGGGUCAGCCUGGAACCUUCAUGGGUCCAACAGCCUUACCCCACUCCUUGUUCACAUCCAAAAUUUUCCACUGAUGGGAAAGUCUGCAGGGAAGCUGGAGAGAACUAGAAAACCUGGGAGAUUGUCUGCUGCCCUGUCAUCUGGAAUGGCUGAGGUAGGGGGAAGGGCAGUUUCGUAUGGAGAGGCAGCCUCUAGGGUCAUUCCCAAAUCAGCCUCCCUCCUCCUCCCUUCCCUCAUCAAAGCCAGGCAGGCUAACCCCUUCUCUCCCUCUGUGCCCCCAAAGAGCUAGAGAGGGAAGGGACUGCUUGGCGUUUAGUGGUGGGGGUGAGACCAAGGGGAAGAAGGCACCUUUAUCCCCCAGACCUGCAGUCAGGCUGACACAGCAGCCUGCAGGGGGUGCUACUGGGUGGCUGAGACCUUGGGGGUGGGGGAUGGUAAAGCCCAGAUCUGGAGCUGAUAAUACCCGUAGCUCCUAAUGUCAGCACCCACUCUCCCAGCAGGAAAAAGAGCCCCUUCCCCACCAUUCCACACUCAAUCCAAAUAUGGAUCAUCUAGGGUUAGGGGAUUAAGGGGGAGGGGGAGCUGGGCUAAAUGGAAUGCUGUUUCCUAGGAACUGGGAGGAUUCUGAGGCACGUUGGGAAGUAUGGGUUGGGAGUCGUUUAGACAGAGAGAGGACAGAGCUUUGGAGAGAGGGGACAUCUAGGAGCCCAUAAUGCCCACCCCCUCCCUUCCAUGCCAAGCCUCACUUAAGUCCUCUCAGAGAAUGUCUCCUGUUUUCAGGUCUACCUCCAUAUGCAUUCAAUGCAGAAGCCUCCACACCCUCACUUAAAAAAUAAAAACACUUUCAUUAAAGGCCUACCGUGGGGCUUCCCUGGUGGUGCAGUCGUUGAGAGUCCGUCUGCCGAUGCUCCGCAACGGGAGAGGCCACAACAGUGAGAAGCCCGCGUACCGCAAAAAAAAAAAAAAGGCCUACCGUGUUCCAGACCUACAGUGUGCUGCAGGGUCGUGUUCUAAGCAUGAAUGAGCAACACCCCCUCCCUCACCUGCUCACAGUCUAGGGGCUGCGACACACAAGACAGAUUCCAGUUCAAGACAGAAUGAAAUACAAGCUAGGCAGAGACGCCAAGAAAUCCGGGUGUGCAGACAGGGAAAUUCGUCCUGACAAAAGAUCAAAGAUAACCUCCCCAAACAUCCAAAGGGUAAUGCAAAAAGUAACUUGCAUCCAAUACCCUGACGUGCCUCUUCUGCGUAGAAGCCUUCUCUGAGUCCCCAGCCUAAAUCUGUCCCACCCCCAUGAUACGUUCUCCUUGAGUUCCUAAAGACACCCUGAACUUAUCACAGUUUGUAAGGAUAUAUUUAUUUAUGGGAUUAUGUGAUGAAUCCUUCUCCCCCACAGCACCGUAAGUGCCAGGAACAAGCUUGUCUGUGAGCUAAAGUGGUGGGCCGUGAAAGCAUGCGGCAGGACUACGGUGAAAAAAGCCACUGGUUAUGGCUGGAGUUGAAGGGGGUGAAGUAUAUAGUGGUGGCCCAGGCUGGCAAGGGAAGUUGGCACCAGAUCAGGGCAGGCUGUGAAUGCCAGGCAACGUUGGGACUUUAUCCUGCUGGCAGUGGGGAGCCAUCAAAGUUUCUGAGCAUGAGAGUGGCAUGUUCCAACCUGUGUUCUGAGAUCCCAGGAUCUCUAGUACGAUGCGGAGGAGGGAUUGGGGGGGUUGGGGUGUGCCCCCCUGGAGCCAGGGGGACCAGCCCUUGUUGCAGUAGUCUCAGGGACUGGUUUAAAAAGGUCUCAGUUGGGCUUCCCUGGUGGUGCAGUGGUUGAGAAUCUGCCUGCUAAUGCAGGGGACACGGGUUCGAGCCCUGAUCUGGGACAAUCCCACA